UACGUAGGGGGCGAGCGUUGUCCGGAUUCAUUGGGCAUAAAGAGCUCGUAGGCGGCUUGGCAAGUCGGGUGUGAAAACUCCAGGCUCAACCUGGAGACGCCACCCGAUACUGCCAUGGCUUGAGUCCGGUAGGGGACCACGGAAUUCCUGGUGUAGCGGUGAAAUGCGCAGAUAUCAGGAGGAACACCGGUGGCGAAGGCGGCUCACUGGACCAUAACUGACGCUGAUGCACGAAAGCUAGGGGAGCAAACAGG
rnacentral:rRNA from 1 species